rnacentral:rRNA from 1 species
GACGAACGCUGGCGGCGUGCUUAACACAUGCAAGUCGAACGGUAAGGCCCUUCGGGGUACACGAGUGGCGAACGGGUGAGUAACACGUGGGUGAUCUGCCCUGCACUUCGGGAUAAGCCUGGGAAACUGGGUCUAAUACCGGAUAGGACCACUGCCUGCAUGGGUGUGGUGGAAAGCUUUUGCGGUGUGGGAUGGGCCCGCGGCCUAUCAGCUUGUUGGUGGGGUGAUGGCCUACCAAGGCGACGACGGGUAGCCGGCCUGAGAGGGUGACCGGCCACACUGGGACUGAGAUACGGCCCAGACUCCUACGGGAGGCAGCAGUGGGGAAUAUUGCACAAUGGGCGCAAGCCUGAUGCAGCGACGCCGCGUGAGGGAUGACGGCCUUCGGGUUGUAAACCUCUUUCAGCACCGACGAAGCGCAAGUGACGGUAGGUGCAGAAGAAGGACCGGCCAACUACGUGCCAGCAGCCGCAGUAA